GCAUAUCAAUAAGCGGAGGAAAAGAAACUAACAAGGAUUCCCCUAGUAACUGCGAGUGAAGUGGGAAAAGCUCAAAUUUAAAAUCUGGCAGUCUAUGAUUGCCCGAGUUGUAAUCUAGAGAAGUACUAUCCGCACAGGACCAUGUAUAAGUCUCCUGGAAUGGAGUGUCAUAGAGGGUGAGAAUCCCGUCUUUGACAUGGACUACCUGUGCUUUUGUGAUGUGCUCUCAAAGAGUCGAGUUGUUUGGGAAUGCAGCUCUAAAUGGGUGGUAAAUUCCAUCUAAAGCUAAAUAUUGGCGAGAGACCGAUAGCGAACAAGUACCGUGAGGGAAAGAUGAAAAGAACUUUGGAAAGAGAGUUAAAUAGUACGUGAAAUUGUUGAAAGGGAAACGCUUGAAGUCAGUCACAUUGACUAGGAAUCAACCUUGCUUUUUUUGCUUGGUGUACUUUCUGGCUUUUAAUGGGUCAGCAUCAAUUUUGAUCAGUGGAAAAAGAUUAAAGGAAUGUGGCAUCUUUUAGAUGUGUUAUAGCCUUUGAUUGUAUACAUUGGUUGGAAUUGAGGAACUCAACACUUUGUUGUUUAGGAUGCUGGCAUAAUGGCUUUAAUCGACCCGUCUUGAAACACGGACCA
rnacentral:rRNA from 1 species